GGAUGAGUUGCGAACGGGUGAGUAACGCGUAGGUAACCUGCCUGGUAGCGGGGGAUAAUUAUUGGAAACGAUAGCUAAUACCGCUAAUAGUAGAUGUUGCAUGACAUUUGCUUAAAAGGUGCAAUUGCAUCACUACCAGAUGGACCUGCGUUGUAUAGCUAGUUGGUGAGGUAACGGCUCACCAAGGCGACGAUACAUAGCCGACCUGAGAGGGUGAUCGGCCACACUGGGACUGAGACACGGCCCAGACUCCUACGGGAGGCAGCAGUAGGGAAUCUUCGGCAAUGGACGGAAGUCUGACCGAGCAACGCCGCGUGAGUGAAGAAGGUUUUCGGAUCGUAAAGCUCUGUUGUAAGAGAAGAACGAGUGUGAGAGUGGAAAGUUCACACUGUGACGGAUCUA
rnacentral:rRNA from 1 species